rnacentral:rRNA from 1 species
GCACAAUGGGGGAAACCCUGAUGCAGCCAUGCCGCGUGUGUGAAGAAGGCCUUCGGGUUGUAAAGCACUUUCAGUAGGAGGAAGGUAGUGUAGUUAACACUGCAUUAUUGACGUUACCUACAGAAGAAGCACCGGCUAACUCCGUGCCAGCAGCCGCGGUAAUACGGAGGGUGCGAGCGUUAAUCGGAAUUACUGGGCGUAAAGCGCAUGCAGGCGGCCUGUUAAGUCAGAUGUGAAAGCCCGGGGCUUAACCUCGGAAUUGCAUUUGUAAACUGGCAGGACUAGAGUCUUGUAGAGGGGGUAGAAUUUCAGGUGUAGCGGUGAAAAUGCGUAGAGAUCUGAAGGAAUACCAGUGGCGAAGGCGGCCCCCUGGACAAAGACUGACGCUCAGAUGCGAAAGCGUGGGGAGCAAACAGGAUUAGAUACCCUGGUAG